ACCAACUGAGCCACCCAGGUGUCCCAAAACUUUAAAUUCAUACAAAAGUUGAUUUUGUGUAAGAGUCCUGCCCUAAUGUGAUACUGAGAUUGGGCAUUUCAUGAUGUUCUCCGAAUAGAUGGGUCAAUUUAUAUUACUGACUAGAAGUUAAUAUACAGAAUGAAGUUUUCCUUGAGGUUAAUUUUCCUUGAGGCUAUAGGGGUGUGACUUGGGAGUAGGCUGGUGUGCAUUCAAGUCAUGUAAUCAUAACUUUUAUUUAUUUACUUGCUUACUUUUUAUUUUCCAGAGAUGAUACAUCUGGAAAGUUGGUAUUCAGGUAGUUGGUAGAUCGUGUAGUUCAACUAAUUUCUAGAUAGAAGCUGAUUCUUUUGAUACCAGAGGCUGGAAUUCUUGGGUGCUCUAAGUCCUGGAUAUACAAUAGAUGAUGACAACAUUUUUCUGUUAUGCAUGAAGGUAGAUGAUUUUCAAAUUAAAGAUGGAACGUGACUUUUCUCACCAGAAAUGCCUUAUAGAAUCAACUUGCACAAAUGUAAGAGACACCAAAGGAAAGAGUGAAAUACUUGCUUUUAUCAUUCUUAGAUUCUAAACUCCAUGAAAGUGGGAAAGCUUCCUUAUCUGUAAUGCCUGGCCCAGAAUAGAUACUGAAAAAUACAUGAAGUGAUUUGAAACCUCCAUUAAUUUUUUUUUUUAAGAUUUUUAUUUAUUUAUUUAAUUCUCAGAGAAAGGG